rnacentral:tRNA from 1 species
GCCUCUAUGGCUCAGUGGUAGAGCAGCUGCCUAGUAAGCAGCAGGUCCUGGGUUCAAAUCCCAGUAGAGGCU